rnacentral:rRNA from 1 species
GACGAACGCUGGCGGCGUGCCUAAUACAUGCAAGUAGAACGCUGAAGGAGGAGCUUGCUUCUCUGGAUGAGUUGCGAACGGGUGAGUAACGCGUAGGUAACCUGCCUGGUAGCGGGGGAUAACUAUUGGAAACGAUAGCUAAUACCGCAUAAGAGUAGAUGUUGCAUGACAUUUGCUUAAAAGGUGCACUUGCAUCACUACCAGAUGGACCUGCGUUGUAUUAGCUAGUUGGUGGGGUAACGGCUCACCAAGGCGACGAUACAUAGCCGACCUGAGAGGGUGAUCGGCCACACUGGGACUGAGACACGGCCCAGACUCCUACGGGAGGCAGCAGUAGGGAAUCUUCGGCAAUGGACGGAAGUCUGACCGAGCAACGCCGCGUGAGUGAAGAAGGUUUUCGGAUCGUAAAGCUCUGUUGUAAGAGAAGAACGAGUGUGAGAGUGGAAAGUUCACACUGUGACGGUAUCUUACCAGAAAGGGACGGCUAACUACGU